GAGGAAAGUUAUUUGCAGAGGAGAACAAGAUCAGGACUCUUCCUAACAAAGGCUGAGUAAGAAACUGGGUUUCUGACCUCUCUACCCCAGCAAGCUCAGAGUCCCCUGCCUUUCCUCUGUUCUGGCUCUGUGUGUUUGCAUUACUCACUCUGUGGUUAGAAGUUCAGGUAAGUAAUUCUGGAAAAGGAGCUUUUGGAAAAAGUUGCCUGGAAAACAGGACGCUGCUUGGAGUGUCAUUUCUCCUUAUCAAUUGAAUAUGGACUUAGACAACUCAGCUCAGGUGAGGGGACACUCAUUCUGGGUAAGGUGGAAGAGGGAGGGCAGGAGAGGGGGCCUGGCCAGGUUUUUGUAGACAUUUUGAUGUCAGCUUAUAGGCUGAUAGCAGCAGCACACUCGUCACCACACAAUCAAGGUUCAACGGAUUGCCUAGGACACAAAUUGGCCCACAGACAGAAGGGAUUAGCCUUAUCUCAGAUGAGAUUUUGGACUUGGACUUUUGAAUUAAUCCUUCAAUGAGUGAGUUAAAGCUUUGAGGGACUGUUAGGAUUGUAUUUUGCAAUGUGAGAAGGACAUGAGAUUUGGGAGAGGCCAGGGCAUUAUUAUAAGGUUUGGCUCUGUGUGUGUCCUCACCCAAAUCUCAGGUUGAAUUGUAAUCCCCAGUGUUGGAGGUGGGGCCUGGUGGGAGGUGGUUGGACCAUGGGGGUGGAAUUCUGGUGGAAUUAAAUACUGGAAAAAAA
rnacentral:lncRNA from 10 species